GAUGAACGCUGGCGGCGUGCCUAAUACAUGCAAGUCGAGCGAACAGACGAGGAGCUUGCUCCUCUGACGUUAGCGGCGGACGGGUGAGUAACACGUGGAUAACCUACCUAUAAGACUGGGAUAACUUCGGGAAACCGGAGCCAAUACCGGAUAAUAUAUUGAACCGCAUGGUUCAAUAGUGAAAGACGGUUUUGCUGUCACUUAUAGAUGGAUCCGCGCCGCAUUAGCUAGUUGGUAAGGUAACGGCUUACCAAGGCAACGAUGCGUAGCCGACCUGAGAGGGUGAUCGGCCACACUAGAACUGAGACACGGUCCAGACUCCUACGGGAGGCAGCAGUAGGGAAUCUUCCGCAAUGGGCGAAAGCCUGACGGAGCAACGCCGCGUGAGUGAUGAAGGUCUUCGGAUCGUAGAGCUCUGUUAUUAGGGAAGAACAAAUGUGUAAGUAACUAUGCACGUCUUGACGGUACCUAAUCAGAAAGCCACGGCUAACUACGUG
rnacentral:rRNA from 1 species